rnacentral:rRNA from 1 species
CUUUUCCCGUCUCCAUCCGACUGAGCGGCGGCUGUGGGCAACGAAACCCUAGCGAGUGAGGCGGGGGCGCGGUGCAGCGCCACCUCCUCCCAUCCAGCUCGCCUCCCUCCCUCCCAAUCUCCUCCCUUGUCUCCCUCCCUUCCAAUCUCCUCCCUCCCAGUCUCUUUCCCGUCCAUGGACGGUGGUGGCAGCGCCAUGGAGCACGGCCGCACAACUUCGAUGUCGGGGCAGGUGGGCUCGGGCGUUGAACGGCUCCACGGGAGCAGCAACAUGCGGCGCAUCCAGUCGGGCUUGGGUAGUCCCCCGGCGCCAGACGCACGCGCUGGUUUCCGGCAAGCUGGACAUGGUGAUGGAAGUGCACCCUAUGUUAGCAGGGUGAGCAUCGAUGAAGCCAAAAGGAGGGAAAAUGUCAACCCCGACAAUGAAGAUAACAUUCUGAUGGGGAAUGGUUCAGCUCCAAGAGAGACAGCUUGGAAAGGGCUUGUAAGCAAUGACAUCUAUUAUAUUUGGAACCAUGGCCCGAAGUUUGGUGGGGGAUUUGAUUGUCGGUACUACCCCCUAAUCACUAGAGGAGGAGGUGCAACCCGCUUUAGGGAGCACCUUGGAGGUAUACCAGGUGAUGUGAGGGAGUGCCCUAAUGUUCCAAGAAAUAUUCGUGCUGCAAUGAGGGAAUCCCGGGAUGACUCAAUGCGGAAGAAGAGGGAAAAGAAAAAUCGUAGAUUUCGUUUGGAAAGGGAUAUCAUGGAAGGGUUGUACCAUGGAGAAGGGGUGAUAAAUAUUGAAGAUGAUGAGGAAGAGAUCCAGGCCGCACUUCGGGAGACACUAAGAGACAAGAAUGUCUCUCGCGCAGUUGAGAGGAGGCGUGGGAGUGGCAGUGGUGUUCGUGUGUCUCUUGGGAAACAGAGUAUCACAACAUACUUUGACAAGGAAUUGUCGAGCAACAAAGUACCAAUGCAGCCAAAGAUCAGCACUGCUUUGAAUGUUGAGUCAAAAGAUGUACUUGGCCAAGCUUGGGCAAAGUUUUUUCAUGCUAAUGACAUUGCUGGUCUGAAAGCAAAUUGUCCCUAUUUUCGUGCGGCUGUCAAGAUAACUCAAAACCUUGGCCCAGCUCCUGUUCCAACUGCCAAGGAGAUUGAUGGGAUAUAUUUGGACAAGAAUUAUGAAGAAGCUGAGCAGUGGCUGAAGAUGUUCAAGCAAGACUGGAGGAACUAUGGUGUAACUGUGAUGUGUGACUCAUGGACAGGGCCUACUGGUAUGAGUCUCAUCAAUUUCAUGGUGUAUUGCAAUGCACGGAUGUUCUUUCAUAAAUCCAUUGAUGCUUCUGGUCAAACUCAGACUGCAAGUUAGUUUUCCAAUGAUUGAAACUAUGUUUACGCAUGAUCAUUCAUUGUUAAUUCUGACUAGCCAUGGCUUGUUAGUUUUCUACAUGAUGUUAUGAUGCAUUUAUUGUGCAUUUAGAGUUGAAAAUCUGUUAUGUUUGUUUAUUCAUGGUUGAAACUCUGUUAUUUCUGUUUAUUCAUUGUUAAAUCUAUAUAUUAUGCUUUAUCCUAUUUUACUUGAUAUCACGGUGCAUUUAGAGUUGAAAAUCUCCUAUUUUGUUUAUUCAUGGUUAAAUGUGGCUAUUAUGCCUUUUCUAUUUUUUACAUGAUAUUAUGAUGCAUUUAGAGUAAAAAAUGUUAUUUCUGUUUAUUCAUGCUUAUUUCUGUUAUUACUCGCUUCAUUUUUGUUUCAAACAAAAAUUUACUUGCAAUUAAUUGGCAGAGUUUAUCUAUAGAGAGAUCAGAAAGGUCGUUGUGGAAGAGAUAGGUUCUGAGAAUGUUGUUCAAAUCGUAACCGAUAAUGGGUCAAAUUACAAGAAAGCAUGUAAAACUCUAGUAGAACAACCAGAGUUUAGUCAUAUUGUUUGGCAGCCAUGUGCUGCCCACACUGUUAACCUCAUGCUUAAGGAUGUUGCUAAGUUUCGUGAGAUUGACGUGAUAGUUAAAAGUGCUAAGUAGAUCUGUAGAUUUUUCUACAAUCACAAUAACCUACAUGAUAGCAUGAAAAAGAACAUUGGUGGUGAACUCAUAAAAUCGAAUGCGGCCCGGUUUGGAACGGUGUUCAUGUUCUUGGAGAGUUUCCAUUGUAAGAAAGAUGAGUUUAGGAAAUGGAUGGUGUCCGGUGAUUGGAAGGGAAGUACUUGGAACGGUGCUGCUGAUUAUGUGUUUGCUGAAGAGCUGCUAUCUAGUAAUAUGUGGUGGGCAGCUUUAGAGUGGGUUCUUGCUGUGCUAGAGCCACUCUAUAAAGCCCUUAGAUAUGCUGAUACACAAAAGAGAUGCACCCUAUCUGGAUUCAAGAAGAGUAUGAUGACAGCCAUACAAAAGUUGGAAAGUCAUCUUGGUGGUGGAUCACAAAUGUUUCAUAGAGUCAUGAGCAAGGUGUCCAAGAGGAUCGAUGCUAUGCAAGAAGGCACACUAUUGGUUGCAGUUGCUGUUCUUGAUCCUUACACACAUUAUCAGAUCAACAUGAGCAAGAUUAUGGACUAUGCUCUUGCACUAACAGAUGCCAUUGAGAAGAUCGCAGACCCUGAGACCGCUGUUUUGGCCAUUGAUGAAGUCAGCACUUAUAGGGAAUGUCAUGGGAGGUUUGGCUCAAGGCUGGCACGUUCCUCUGCAGAGAAAAUGUCACCAACUGAGUGGUGGUUCCAAUUUGGAGGGGAAGUUCCUAAUCUGCAGAAGUGUGCCUUGAGGAUUGUAUCACAAUGCGUUUCGUCAAGUGGCUGUGAGAGGAAUUGGAGCGCUUUUGCUUUGGUCCACACCAAGCAAAGAAACCGUCUUCUAUAUGGCAAGCUGCACAAGCUUGUAUCUGUGCGCUACAACUUGAAGAUACGUGCUGAAGAAGAAGAAGACCCGGUGAGAGAGAAUGAUAAGCAGAAGGAAGUUGAUGCAUGUGCAAUGAUGAUGGAUACAACCAUGUUUGAUGCAACAAAUCCUAUGAUGGAAUGGUUGAAUGAGGAUGAGGAGCAUGCAAUCUUGGAUGGAGUUGAUGCUGCUAGUGUCGUAUUUGAGAAAAUACGUUUGCUUAUCUCAAGUAGGAAAGUUUCUCGUCUUGCAAGGAAGGACAAUGGCAGGAAAAGAAAGAGGGUAGAGGAAGAAGAGGAUGACUACCAUGAUAGUGAGGAUGAUGAUGAAGAAAAUGAGGAGCUGGACCUGGAAAUUGAUGAUGAUGAUGAUAGCCAUGAUGAUGGUGCAAGUCAAUCUGAUGGAGGAGAUUCGCCAAUGCAAGUUGAAAAGGAUUUAACAAGCCAAGUUGGAAACAAUGUUGAGGUAACAAGUGAUGGUAGUUUGGUGAACCGUAGAUCUGAACGGGUUAGGCAAGCAAAGAAGGUCAAGGAGGUCACCAGCCUUUACAAUUGACAAGUUAAGCGGCAUGGGAGCAAAAGAGCUUUUGGUUUGAUGAAGACUAACGGGUGGAUGAACAGGAAGUCCGAAGUGAAGGUCUCUGUUCGAUUCAAUACUUUUGGUGCAAGACUGAAGAGUUGAAGAACAGGAAGUCUGAAUUGAACUUUUUGUUUGUAUUUUGGGGUCGGCAUAAUUGAACUUCGAAUGCCGUGUUAAAUUCAUUAUGGACUGUAAUUCUGAACCGUUAUGGGUGUUCGUUUCGACUCUUGGUAGAACUAUUAAGUCGCAUGUUACUCUUAGUAUCUGAACUAGCAAGUCACAUGUUAAUCUGGACUAUCAUGUUGCUUUUCUAAUGGUUGCUGCUCUCCAAAUUGAUCCACUAUGCUAUUGUCUGAAUGGUUGCAACUAGAGUGUUGAUGUUCAGUCUGAUACGUAGUGAUUUGAUGAAUAGAUUCAGCUGUUUGAUUUU